ensembl:lncRNA
GUGAGAUAAAUUUGCCAAGGAUCAGCUUCUGUCUCUGGCUACAUUCCCCCCUCCUCAGUGAAACAGCAUUUAAAAGGAAACAUCCCUGAAUCAUUUUUUACUAAUGAUUGAACAACAGCAUGGUCACUUCCUCCUGCUGGCUGUAGUCUUCCUUCUUCCCAGAACAGGUUAGGAAUAAAAGACACAAUGAUAUGGAAACAUUUCCCAGAAACUACAUUUCCAACUUUGUUAUUAAUCUCUCAAAUCUAAAUAGAGGUGCUAAAGUGGAACGCACAGAAAAAUAAGUGCCUACUGGUCUGCCAUGAAGAAUAAUAACAACAUUUACGACUAAAAGUAAAUUUAGUGCUUGUGUCACACCAACAUUGGAUAAAAGUGCUAACACUCAAUAAUUACCUUGUUGCUAACUUGGCCUUGAUAAGAAAGCAUUCUUUUUAAAAGUACAUGACUGGUCAUGUAAUUUUGUAGACGAGUAGUUCAUUAAGAAACAAAAAAGCAAAUCUAGUGAAUCUGAGUUAAAGACAAUGACUUAGUAAAAGCUCUGAUGAACUAUGAAAGAUAACGUUGGGUGGCACAGAUUUCCUUCCCUCCCUCCCCUCUCCCAUCCCUGAUAUCUGAGAGUCAUUAAAGUGCAUAUAAUAGGGUUAUUGUGUUGAUUAGUUGCUCAGUUGUGUCUGACUCUUUGCGGCCCCUUGGACUGUAGGCUCCUCUCUCCACGGGAUUUCCCAGACAAGAAUACUGCAGUAGGUUGCCAUUUCUUCCUCCAGGGGAUCUUUCUGACUCAGGAUUGAACUUAGGUCUCCUACGUCUCCUGUAUUGUAGGCGAAUUCUUCACCACUGUGUCACCUGGGAAGCCUUGUAAUAUGCUUAUAUGCCUUCCUUAAAAAUGAUGUCUAUUAAGCAUGCUUACCCUUUGCAUAGAAAGAGAUAGUUCAAGGUUAUGCUAAAUAAAAUAUUAUAUGUGCCAUUUAUAUGAAAAGUUGCCUAAGGCAAAAAAUGUGGAAUAUGUUUAUCUAUCCUUCUGCUUUGUGUCCCAGAUUUAGCACCAAUAUGUGCCCUGAAUUGGAUUAAGCCUUCAGAAUAUUUUCAAAAGGACCCUCAAAAGAUGGACUCUAGCAUCAAAGGUCUUUUUCUUUUUUUAAAAAAAUUUUUUGUUGCACCACACGGCAUGUGGGAAUCUUAGUUGCCCAACCAGGGAUGGAACCCAUGCCCUCUGCAUUAGAAGCAUGGACUCUUAACCACUGGACCUCUAGGG